rnacentral:lncRNA from 1 species
GGUGUGUAACAAAGAUAAGUGAAUGUCCAAAUCCAACUAGGUAUGCUGAGAAGACUGAACCUAAGGUGCCAACAACUCUACAAUCCAUCGAGAGCAACGAUCAUAAACAAGAAGUGGAGUCUCAAUGUCAAAAUCAGCAAGGUGGCUAUGCCUCAGUAUGAACGCAUCAUCUCAAAAUGGGUAAGCUCUCAAUGCAGAAUGAUCUCUGGAAAGUAAGUGUCUGGUAUAAAC